CGGUAUGUAGCGCAGUUUGGUAGCGCACUGGCAUGGGGUGUCAGGGGUCGGAGGUUCGAAUCCUCCCAUACCGACCA
rnacentral:tRNA from 1 species